GACGAACGCUGGCGGCGUGCUUAACACAUGCAAGUCGAACGGUAAGGCCCUUCGGGAUACACGAGUGGCGAACGGGUGAGUAACACGUGGGUGAUCUGCCCUGCACUUCGGGAUAAGCCUGGGAAACUGGGUCUAAUACCGGAUAGGACCACUGCCUGCAUGGGUGGGGGUGGAAAGCUUUUGCGGUGUGGGAUGGGCCCGCGGCCUAUCAGCUUGUUGGUGGGGUGAUGGCCUACCAAGGCGACGACGGGUAGCCGGCCUGAGAGGGUGACCGGCCACACUGGGACUGAGAUACGGCCCAGACUCCUACGGGAGGCAGCAGUGGGGAAUAUUGCACAAUGGGCGCAAGCCUGAUGCAGCGACGCCGCGUGAGGGAUGACGGCCUUCGGGUUGUAAACCUCUUUCAGCACCGACGAAGCACAAGUGACGGUAGGUGCAGAAGAAGGACCGGCCAACUACGUGCCAGCAGCCGCGGUAA
rnacentral:rRNA from 1 species